AACGAACGCUGGCGGCAGGCUUAACACAUGCAAGUCGAGCGCCCCGCAAGGGGAGCGGCAGACGGGUGAGUAACACGUGGGAAUCUACCCAUCCCUACGGAACAACUCCGGGAAACUGGAGCUAAUACCGUAUACGCCCUUCGGGGGAAAGAUUUAUCGGGGAUGGAUGAGCCCGCGUUGGAUUAGCUAGUUGGUGGGGUAAAGGCCUACCAAGGCGACGAUCCAUAGCUGGUCUGAGAGGAUGAUCAGCCACAUUGGGACUGAGACACGGCCCAAACUCCUACGGGAGGCAGCAGUGGGGAAUAUUGGACAAUGGGCGCAAGCCUGAUCCAGCCAUGCCGCGUGAAUGAUGAAGGCCUUAGGGUUGUAAAGUUCUUUCACCGAUGAAGAUAAUGACGGUAGUCGGAGAAGAAGCCCCGGCUAACUUCGUGCCAGCCGCCGCAGUAA
rnacentral:rRNA from 1 species